rnacentral:misc_RNA from 1 species
GAUGAAGAACGCAGCGAAAUGCGAUACGUAAUGUGAAUUGCAAAUUCAGUGAAUCAUCGAGUCUUUGAACGCACAUUGCGCCCCCUGGUAUUCCGGGGGGCAUGCCUGUCCGAGCGUCAUUGCUGCCCUCAAGCACGGCUUGUGUGUUGGGCCCCGUCCUCCGAUCCCGGGGGACGGGCCCGAAAGGCAGCGGCGGCACCGCGUCCGGUCCUCGAGCGUAUGGGGCUUUGUCACCCGCUCUGUAGGCCCGGCCGGCGCUUGCCGAUCAACCCAAAUUUUUAUCCAGGUUGACCUCGAAUCAGGUAGGGAUACCCGCUGAACUUAAGCAUAUCAAUAAGCGGAGGA